rnacentral:lncRNA from 1 species
CAAAACGUGGACAUCGCUGCAGCGACGUCACGGUGAUGACUGCCCCUGUGUUCCAGAGCUCUGAUCCCAUUCAUGACACGGACGAGACAAUUCUAUUUGAUUGUAUCAGCAUUUUCCAACAAAAUGAACACGGAUCUGACGUUUGGAUUUAGAAGAGUCUCCCGGCCCCUGCCUGAAUUCUCCGUCAGGCCACGUGAUGAGGAUUAUGAUCAGUGCAGAGGGCACAACAUCGGACCAGACCACAGAGGGACCAUCAAUUUGCAACAGCCCUGCACGGAUGGUGUCCAGGGGCAAGGCACUACCUGAACUCGUAUGCAGACUUAAUAAUUAAAAUAAUUUUUACCUUAAAAAAAUGAGACGGAGCUUUUAUUUUCUAACAUAUAAAAUCACACUUAUUUUUUUAAGUUUUUACAUUGAAAAACUUCAAACCUGUAGAGAAGGUGAAAGUAGUAUGAUGAAUAUCUGUAUACUCUUCCCUUAAAUUCACCAAUGAAUAAAAUUCUAAUUUGGUUCAUCUCCCUCUUUAUACAAACAUGCGUGUGUGCCCAUGUAUAUAUAUGUAUGUAUGUGUGUGUACUGAACUAUUUAAAAGUAAGUUGCAGAUAUCAUGACCCUUCACCCUUAAAUACUUUAGCUUGCACCUCCCAAGAAUAAGGAUGUUUUACCCACAAUAUCAAUAUCACACCUAACACAAUGAACAUUAAUUUAAUAAUGCCAUCUAACAUACAAUUCAUAUUCAGUUUUUG